rnacentral:rRNA from 1 species
GUGAGGAAUAUUGGACAAUGGGCGCAAGCCUGAUCCAGCCAUGCCGCGUGCAGGAAGACGCAUCUAUGGUGUGUAAACUGCUUUUGUACGGGAAGAAACACUCCCUCGUGAGGGAGCUUGACGGUACCGUAAGAAUAAGGAUCGGCUAACUCCGUGCCAGCAGCCGCGGUAAUACGGAGGAUCCAAGCGUUAUCCGGAAUCAUUGGGUUUAAAGGGUCCGUAGGCGGGUUAAUAAGUCAGUGGUGAAAGCCCAUCGCUCAACGAUGGAACGGCCAUUGAUACUGUUAGACUUGAAUUACAAGGAAGUAACUAGAAUAUGUAGUGUAGCGGUGAAAUGCUUAGAUAUUACAUGGAAUACCAAUUGCGAAGGCAGGUUACUACUUGUGGAUUGACGCUGAUGGACGAAAGCGUGGGGAGCGAACAGGAUUAGAAACCCCUGUAGUCC